CGAGCAUCGGUGAUGAUUUUCUUUAAUUCGUUAUCCUUGCACUAUGAUUGCCCGUGAAGAAAACUAUGGGGAAUUUGAAUCUGAGAUGCUGUUUCGUUUUUUUCUUUCUAGUUUUGAUUUGAUUCAUAAGUCUAGUAAUAUAUGAGUUUGUUUUACUCCCAUCUUUUUGUUCUUUCUGGAUCGAUGAUGUUAAUAAAUCUGCGUUAUCUAUCUGCAACUUCCCAGAAUUCGUUCUGGGAAUUGAAGAUACUAUCAAGUUACUGAGAUCUCAU
rnacentral:lncRNA from 1 species